rnacentral:rRNA from 1 species
AUGUCGCCUCCUGCGGACACGGGUCCCGAGGCGUUCCAUGAGAUCCGAAGGGCGUACGAGAUGCUGUCGGACCCGGCCGCCAGGGCGCGCUACGACAGCUUGCUCGGGGUGUUCCGCGGCGGGGGCGCCGGCGGCGUGAUGCCGGUGUGGAGGUGGGAGACGGACCCGUGUUGGAAAAUGUUUAAAACCUACCGGAUGAUUUCUACAGGAAAUAAGCCAUCUCGCCCGCGUGCCACGCGUCCUCGUGGCCCACCACGCUGCUGCCUUAUCCCUAGCAUCAAGGCGAACCGCUCACUCCUUUCUUCUGCCAGCGAGAUCACACAACCACCAUCUUCCACUUCGUUUUUUGGCCCUCGCCUGAGCAGCCGGUGGGAUGCCUUGCGGCCCCUGGGAGCGAUGCUGCUCCAGAUUUCAGUAUGGUACAACCUCGAUGAGCCGAUGUACAAUAACAUAUAA